rnacentral:rRNA from 1 species
UACGGGGGGGGCAAGCGUUGUUCGGAAUUACUGGGCGUAAAGGGCUCGUAGGCGGCCAACUAAGUCGAACGUGAAAUCCCCGGGCUCAACCCGGGAACUGCGUCCGAUACUGGAAGGCUUGAAUCCGGGAGAGGGAUGCGGAAUUCCAGGUGUAGCGGUGAAAUGCGUAGAUAUCUGGAGGAACACCGGUGGCGAAGGCGGCGUUCUGGACUGCAACUGACACUGAAAAACGAAAGCCAGGGGAGCAAACGGG